UGGGGAAUCUUGGACAAUGGGGGCAACCCUGAUCCAGCGACGCCGCGUGGGUGAUGAAGGCCUUCGGGUUGUAAAGCCCUUUCACCGGGGACGAUGAUGACGGUACCCGGAGAAGAAGCACCGGCUAACUCCGUGCCAGCAGCCGCGGUAAGACGGAGGGUGCUAGCGUUGUUCGGAAUCACUGGGCGUAAAGGGCGCGUAGGCGGCUUUGGCAGUCGGAUGUGAAAGCCCGGGGCUCAACCUCGGAACGGCCUUCGAGACUGGGCGGCUAGAGACCGGAAGAGGAGGGUGGAAUACCCAGUGUAGAGGUGAAAUUCGAAGAUAUUGGGUGGAACACCAGUGGCGAAAGCGGCUCUCUGGUCCGGAUCUGACGCUGAGGCGCGAAAGCGUGGGGAGCAAACAGGAUUAGAUACCCCGGUAGUCC
rnacentral:rRNA from 1 species